GAUUUUUUUUUUUUUUCUUCGGAGUAAAAGAAACCAAAAGGCAUUGCCUUAGUACGGCGAGUGAAGCGGCAAAAGCUCAAAUUUGAAAUCUAGCACUUUCAGUGUUCGAGUUGUAAUUUGAAGAAGGUAACUUUGGAAUUGGCUCUUGUCUAUGUUCCUUGGAACAGGACGUCACAGAGGGUGAGAAUCCCGUGCGAUGAGAUGUCCAAUUCUAUGUAAAGUGCUUUCGAAGAGUCGAGUUGUUUGGGAAUGCAGCUCUAAGUGGGUGGUAAAUUCCAUCUAAAGCUAAAUAUUGGCGAGAGACCGAUAGCGAACAAGUACAGUGAUGGAAAGAUGAAAAGAACUUUGAAAAGAGAGUGAAAAAGUACGUGAAAUUGUUGAAAGGGAAGGGCUUGAGAUCAGACUUGGUAUUUUGUGUUCCUUAUUCUUUUUGGAUUUGGUUCCUCACAGCUUACCGGGCCAGCAUCGGUUUGGAUGGUAGGAUAAUGACAUUGGAAUGUAGCUUUGCUUCGGUGAAGUGUUAUAGACUUUGUUGAUACUGCCUAUCUAGACCGAGGACUGCGUCUUGACUAGGAUGCUGCGUAAAGACCUUAAGCCGCCCGUCUUGAA
rnacentral:rRNA from 1 species